AUAAUACUCCCUCCGUUCCAUAAUUCUUGUCUCAAAUUUGUCCAAAAAUGGAUGUAUCUAUUCUUAAAAAGCGUCUAAAUACAUGUAAUAUUUCGACAAGAAUUAUGAAACGGAGAGAGUAGUAA
rnacentral:pre_miRNA from 1 species